AGUUCUGUACGACUGCUGAGUCAGGGUGUCUUGACUGUUUCCUUGUGGUUGGACUACAGUGUCUACAGAGUAGAAAGAGAAGAGGGUGGAUGUGUGAGAAGAGGCCCGGGAACAGUGUGAAUCUUAGCAGAACAUCAUCCACAGAAGCAA